GGUUAUAUAACGCAAUGGUAACGCAUUUGCUUUUACAGCAAAAAGUUUUAAAUUUAAUUUUUAAUGCAGCUU
rnacentral:tRNA from 1 species